UACGAGAGGCCCAAACGUUAUUCGGAAUUACUGGGCUUAAAGAGUUCGUAGGCGGCGCGGUAAGUAGGGUGUGAAAGCCCUCGGCUCAACCGAGGAAUUGCGCUCUAAACUACCGUGCUUGAGGAAGCUAGAGGUGAGCGGAACUGAUGGUGGAGCGGUGAAAUGCGUUGAUAUCAGGAGGAACACCUGCGAUGUAGAUGGCUUACUGGACCGUAACUGACGCUGAGGCACGAAAGCGUGGGUAGCAAACAGG
rnacentral:rRNA from 1 species